AGUAUAAACUUGGGUAGGGGAACCAUACCAGAAAAAAGGUACAAUUAUCCUGCUUCAUUGUAGGUCUGAAAUUUACGGUUUCAGAGUAGAGACUUAAGGCCCAUAUUGCCAAAAUUAUACAACGUCACAUUGCUUGCGGGGCAUCUUAAAGAUGUUGACGCGGUUGUCAAUUUUUUUUGUGUGAUACGAUGAUUUAAAAUAGGUCGAUAUCUAUACCGUAAACAGUGA
rnacentral:misc_RNA from 1 species